UACGUAGGGUGCAAGCGUUAUCCGGAAUUAUUGGGCGUAAAGAGCUCGUAGGCGGUUUGUCGCGUCUGCUGUGAAAACUGGAGGCUCAACCUCCAGCCUGCAGUGGGUACGGGCAGACUAGAGUGCGGUAGGGGAGAUUGGAAUUCCUGGUGUAGCGGUGGAAUGCGCAGAUAUCAGGAGGAACACCGGUGGCGAAGGCGGGUCUCUGGGCCGACACUGACGCUGAGGAGCGAAAGCGUGGGGAGCGAACAGG
rnacentral:rRNA from 1 species